UUAAAAAGGUUUUUUUUUUUUCGACGAUAUUCCUUCGUAUCCAUUGCCUCGAAUUUUGGAAAUUUCGAAAAGUUUUGACUCGUCGCGCGUUAGUUGAAAAGCAAGAAUAGUAUUCGACGUCUCUUCAUCAUUCAGCUUCUUCUUUUUCAUCCUCUUCUUCCUCGCCAAUCAGGUCUCCCGACCGUUCGAGAAGCGAGUAAUAUUCAAUUUCAGGCGCCGCAAUUUACGUGGACGAACACGAAGAAGAAGCAGAGAAGGAUACGACCGAGUGGUGAGGCAAAAAGUGGAGACGACUGGGAGAACCAUCACGAAAAGUGACUCUGGAUGACUUUGACUUUGCGAGAGAACUAAAGGUACCUACCAUUAACGAUCCUAAAUGGCGCUAGAAAGUUUUAUAAACUGUCGUUAUACGACAGAAAUACGGAAUAGGAUUCUGAGAUUUUGCGAGUAGAGCGAUCGAGACGAUCUCCUCGGAGAAGUGAACUUGGAAGGAACCGUUCGUAAGUCUGGAUGGACGGGAUCAGUCGUGUGAAGCAGAGAGAAGAAGAACGACGAAAUGUUCGAGACGUAUAGAGCAAACGGAGAUGGAAGAAAAAAAGAAAGGUACAUAAUCGUCGGAAGCAGGAAGAAAAGGAAGGAAGAAAAGAAGAAGAAGGAGUCGCGGCUUACGGUGAAGCAUAAAGCCCAGGACUAAUUCCACGAGUCGUUCCCGCUGCGAUAUUCUUAUCGAGAAUAGCCGCGAGAACGUUUCGCGAUCGUUGAAUGGCUCACCGCGGUGCAUAGAAGUCAGGUGUCGAGGCGGGGAUCCGAAGAGAAACGCAUUAACAGGUGCUGUGCUCCGGACGAUAUCGAACGUACUUUAAGCGUUCUACCCUUCCAACCGCACGAGAGGGAAACCCAUAAAGCAUUUGACCACGAACGAGGGUGACAGGCACGAGAACGUGGCGGAGAAACUCGCGGCGAUGUUUCAUCGAGCUUCCGAGCAAAACUUACUUCUACGUUACACGUAGUCGGAUCUUCGCGAGUCGGCUACCAGUGAAAGGAAAGGAGGAGAGAAGAUGCUGCGAGAAGAUACGACGUGGAAGGUGUAAUGGAUCGCCACACGACCCGCUCGGUCCCAACCCCAUAUGGAACACCGGGAGAGAUCGGCCAGAGAUUACAGGGAAGCAGGGCAUAAUGUCCAAACAGUUGCUCGUCAACAACCGACUAACGGUCGACGAAAACGUUCUCUUCUACCGAGAGCAGCGCGUGAGCACAACGAUCUCCGAUCCCAACGUCGAAUUCCUCGAAGAACGACAACCACGACUACGACUACUACUACUACUACUACGACGACGUCGUCGACGACGACGACGACGACGACGACGACGA